GACCAGAUAGCUCAGUCGGUAGAGCACCUGACUGGAAAUUCAGGGGGCUCAGGUUCAAAUCCUGGUCUGGUGGAUUGCA